rnacentral:rRNA from 1 species
UACGUAGGGUGCAAGCGUUGUCCGGAAUUAUUGGGCGUAAAGAGCUCGUAGGCGGUCUGUUGCGUCCGCUGUGAAAACUCGGGGCUUAACCCCGAGCCUGCAGUGGAUACGGGCAGACUAGAGGUAGGUAGGGGAGAAUGGAAUUCCCGGUGUAGCGGUGAAAUGCGCAGAUAUCGGGAGGAACACCGGUGGCGAAGGCAGUUCUCUGGGCCUUACCUGACGCUGAGGAGCGAAAGCGUGGGGAGCGAACAGG